rnacentral:lncRNA from 1 species
CCGCGCCUCCGGCUGGGGCUCCGAGUCGGGCUUCGAGAGGGACAGCGGAGGCCCUCCGCCGAGGGACGGUCGGCGCCAACCGAGGUUCCUGAGCAAAAGAGAAAAGGAGGUUUGACCAUGAGGCUUGGAGAAGGGAGAAGGGCUGGGGAGUACGGCAAGCAUCAUUUAUAUUGACCAUAAUGGUUUUCCUUGGGUGCCUAUUGGGAACUGAACACUGUGGUAAUGAGCUGGAAAAAAUGCUGAAGAAAUACAAGAGGGAAUAAUAUGGAACCUGGAGUCACUAAGCUUUACUGAGGAAGACCUUGAAGAAUGAGUAACAUUUUAAAAGGAAGAUAGAAGGUGUGGUGUGGUGUUGGCAUACCAGCAAAGAGCCCAGAAGUGGGCCCCUGGUUAGCAAUGCCUUAGUAGAGAAAUGGCAGAUAAUACUUGAAGCUCAAGGAGAACAUAUCCCCCUUAACUCUA